rnacentral:rRNA from 1 species
CUGGCUCAGAACGAACGCUGGUGGCGUGUCUUAUACAUGCAAGUCGAGCGAGGCAGCAAUGCCGAGCGGCGAACGGGUGAGUAACGCGUAAGCAAUCUGCCCCAUAUCAGGAAAUACCCGUGCCAACGCGCGGUUAAUGUCCAGGAGAGUGGCCUUCCGCAUGGAGGGUUGACUAGAGAUUUAUCGGUAUGGGAUGAGCUUGCGUCCGAUUAGCUAGUUGGCGGGGCAACGGCCCACCAAGGCGACGAUCGGUAGCCGGCCUGAGAGGGUGAUCGGCCACAUUGGGACUGAGAUACGGCCCAGACUCCUACGGGAGGCAGCAGUAGGGAAUAUUGCACAAUGGGGGAAACCCUGAUGCAGCAACGCCACGUGUGGGAAGAAGCAUUUCGGUGUGUAAACCACUGUCAUGAGGGAAUAAGGCCCGCCUUCGGACGGGAUUGAAUGUACCUUGAGAGGAAGCACCGGCAAACUUCGUGCCAGCCGCGGC